CGGGCGGAGUUUAAGAAGUUCGUUCAUUGAAGACCAGUCCAUCUAUAGACAGGAGUUUUGGGAUAAGCUCAUCAAUGAAGUGUCCAAUUAUUCGUCCCAUACCAUACACUCAGUUCUUUUGUAUAUGCGUUUGGUGACACUGAUUAGUGAUUAGAAUUCAAUAAUAAUUAUAACGGCAAUCAUCCUUAUCACACACAUUUUCAAAUAGACUGUCCUUAUGCAAAUUAAAACAUAAGCUCCGCCCGAUCAGUUGAAAUAACAUUGGUAAUACUCUA
rnacentral:lncRNA from 1 species